GAUGAACGCUGGCGGCGUGCCUAAUACAUGCAAGUCGAGCGAACAGACGAGGAGCUUGCUCCUCUGACGUUAGCGGCGGACGGGUGAGUAACACGUGGAUAACCUACCUAUAAGACUGGGAUAACUUCGGGAAACCGGAGCUAAUACCGGAUAAUAUAUUGAACCGCAUGGUUCAAUAGUGAAAGACGGUUUUGCUGUCACUUAUAGAUGGAUCCGCGCCGCAUUAGCUAGUUGGUAAGGUAACGGCUUACCAAGGCAACGAUGCGUAGCCGACCUGAGAGGGUGAUCGGCCACACUGGAACGGAGACACGGUCCAGACUCCAACGGGAGGCAGCAGUAGGGAAUCUUGCGCAAUGGGCGAAGGCCUGACGGGGCAACGCCGCGUGAGUGAUGAAGGUCUUCGGAUCGUAAGACUCUGUUAUUAGGGAAGAACAAAUGUGUAAGUAACUAUGCACGUCUUGACGGUACCUAAUCAGAAAGCCACGGCUAACUACGUG
rnacentral:rRNA from 1 species